GGGCGCAAGCCUGAUGCAGCCAUGCCGCGUGUGUGAAGAAGGCCUUCGGGUUGUAAAGCACUUUCAGUCGUGAGGAAGGUAGUGUAGUUAAUAGCUGCAUUAUUUGACGUUAGCGACAGAAGAAGCACCGGCUAACUCCGUGCCAGCAGCCGCGGUAAUACGGAGGGUGCGAGCGUUAAUCGGAAUUACUGGGCGUAAAGCGCAUGCAGGUGGUUUGUUAAGUCAGAUGUGAAAGCCCGGGGCUCAACCUCGGAAUUGCAUUUGAAACUGGCAGACUAGAGUACUGUAGAGGGGGGUAGAAUUUCAGGUGUAGCGGUGAAAUGCGUAGAGAUCUGAAGGAAUACCGGUGGCGAAGGCGGCCCCCUGGACAGAUACUGACACUCAGAUGCGAAAGCGUGGGGAGCAAACAGGAUUAGAUACCCUGGUAGUCCACGCCGUAAACGAUGUCUACUUGGAGGUUGUGGCCUUGAGCCGUGGCUUUCGGAGCUAACGCGUUAAGUAGACCGCCUGG
rnacentral:rRNA from 3 species